AUUGAACGCUGGCGGCAGGCCUAACACAUGCAAGUCGAGCGCGCGGCGGACGGGUGAGUAAUGUCUGGGAAACUGCCUGAUGGAGGGGGAUAACUACUGGAAACGGUAGCUAAUACCGCAUACCAUCAGAUGUGCCCCGAUGGGAUUAGCUCGUAGGUGGGGUAACGGCUCACCUAGGCGACGAUCCCUAGCUGGUCUGAGAGGAUGACCAACCACACUGGAACGUAGACACUGUCCAGACUCCGACGGUAGGCAGCAGUGGGGAAUAUUGCACAAUGGGCGCAAGCCUGAUGCGGCCAUGCCGCGUGUGUGAAGAAGGCCUUCGGGUUGUAAAGCACUUUCAGCGGGGAGGCGUUACCCGCAGAAGAAGCACCGGCUAACUCCGUGCCAGCAGCCGCGGUAAUUC
rnacentral:rRNA from 1 species